GCACAAGUGGUGGAGCAUGUGGUUUAAUCGAAGCAACGCGAAGAACCUUACCAGGUCUUGACAUCCCGAUGCUAUUUCUAGAGAUAGAAAGUUACUUCGGUACAUCGGUGACAGGUGGUGCAUGGUUGUCGUCAGCUCGUGUCGUGAGAUGUUGGGUUAAGUCCCGCAACGAGCGCAACCCCUAUUGUUAGUUGCCAUCAUUCAGUUGGGCACUCUAGCGAGACUGCCGGUAAUAAACCGGAGGAAGGUGGGGAUGACGUCAAAUCAUCAUGCCCCUUAUGACCUGGGCUACACACGUGCUACAAUGGUUGGUACAACGAGUUGCGAGUCGGUGACGGCGAGCUAAUCUCUUAAAGCCAAUCUCAGUUCGGAUUGUAGGCUGCAACUCGCCUACAUGAAGCCGGAAUCGCUAGUAAUCGCGGAUCAGCACGCCGCGGUCGAAUACGUUCCCGGGCCUU
rnacentral:rRNA from 1 species